UUUCACUGAGUGGACAUCUGAAAGUGUAUGCUUUUGUCCUUAGAUUACUUCAACUUUGAUUCUUAAUCAGAGAAGUUUCUCUGCAGCAGGAAGUAGAGACUGCAGGGAAUCAUAGUCAAAUUGCAUAUAACAAGGGACUGAAUUUCCAGUCCUCAAUGGGACAACUGCAUCAUUCAUGCUCAUCAGGAAACAAACAUCAUGGAACAUUCCUGCUCACCAGGAAAUGUCCCAGAAGAGUUGGAAGAAAGAAUGUAAGAGUUAGAUGAUGGCAAGGUGUGUUGUGGAAAACUGCCUUCCACACAGGAUAUGGGUAUUGUACCAAUAGCCCUCUUUACCUAUACAAAGCCUGUACGAAACUGACUAUGCUAGCAUUACACCAUGGAUGGGUAUGAAUUCAUGAGAGUCCAUCGCUCUGCAAAGAGUUAUAGACAUUUAAUAGUUGCCCAGCAUCCAGGAAGGGGAGUCAUAUUUCUGAGUAGUGUAGCAAUUGGUAAACUAUCCUUAUGUAAAUAUGCCCCACUCAGACAAGUAACCCUAAUGAAGCAUAGUAACUCACACACAAAUAGGCAUAAAAUUAGGGAGCAGAUUUGCUGCUCUGCUGUUGGGAGUGAUGGGACUGUGAAGGUAACUAGAUAGGGAUAUGCAGGCAAGUACACUAUAUCUUGCAUGAGACUGUGAAUUUUUUUAAAAAAGAGUCCCAGAGAAGAGUCAGUUAUGCUAAAUACAUUGUGGGUCAGUAGGUUACUUGCUAUGAUAUUAGGUUAUACCACUCCACUAUCUUCAUUAGGAGAUAUUUCAUCAGGAAUGGAAUGGGAAGUUUCUAAUGAGGAGAUCCACACUUGGCCUUGAGUGGCCUCCCAUUAGAUGAGGACAUUUCAGGCAGAGGACAAAGACUUCAACUAUAAAAACUUCAGCUGUGCUUGGGAUGUGUACAAUGGAGAAUGACCAGUGGUCUUGAUUUGUUGGAUGCUGUGUGGGCUCUGAGAUAAUAGCAAGGCCAAAAUUAUAAAGGGGGCAUUAAAAUGGGAAUAAAAACUAGUGUUCAGCUUGAAGUCCUGCCUAUGAAAUAAGUAGAGGGACAGAACUAUUGAUCUUCAAAAGGAAUGCCAUGGAACAGGGCUUUUGUUGUUAACUUAUUCUCUACACAGAAGUGGAGUGUGAGUCAGGCACUAACUGUGCAGCUUCAGUAGCCUAUACCCCAGAAGGGGAUGCAUAGCAACUGAGGACCAGGGGUAGGGUUUCACGCAGGCCCAGAAUUAGAUAGAGGAGGAGGUUUACAUUGGUGGAGGUCUUGAGUUCAAUCCAGAGCAUGAGACACGGUAUACGGAGAUGUGUUUCCAUGACUUGCUUGAAGAAAGGUUUUUGCUGAAUAAGACGGGACAAAUGGUUAAGAAGAUCAUGUCCAUCCCAAAGGAAGCUUAAUGUGGCAGAAGCCAGCAUGUUUUAAAGGAUGUUGACAGGUGACCAGAAUCCAUGAAUCCUUCAAAAAGAGAAUUUGAGAGUUUUAGUAGGGUGAAAACAACUAUCUUCUAUAAUCUUGUGAAAUUCUGACAUCACAUAGGUACCUUAUCGUCUUGGAGAAGACAUGAAGAGCCUGGCAACCUGACCUUCUCAACCCAAGUGGGCACAGCUCCCCAUUGUUUGGAGAGAGGAGGGAUAAACUUGUAGCACAGAUUGCUGGCCUGCAGGCAUCUGAAGAUCAACAAUUAGUUUUCUGUGAUAAACCCCUUGUGAAGUAGGCAGAACCAUUUCAGAAUUCUUAAUGCUUAGGAAGAGGCGAGGAGGAGAUUGGAUGUCUGGAAUCUGCUCUGCUGCAAGUUCGGAGUGGCUAGAGGAAGACAUCCUUCCCUGCGUAAGAGCCAUGCUGGAUGCUGGCCUUUCUUUUUCCCAUUUAACACUUCAUUUUGGAUCUUUAUGUAACAAGAGUCUCUUCUGUUGUUACUAUGUUUUAUUAUUUGAAAGUCACCUUGUUUUCAGACCAUGAACAACAUAUAAAAUAUCUGCAGACAGGAAAUAGAUAAAUUAGCAAACAUGAAUUCCUAACUGCCCUGUGGAUGGUCUUGGUCUCUGGGUGGUGUUCCUCUGUGGUCACUGUGAUAUAAAGGUCAAUGCUGGUAA